UUCUUUUAUAAAUCAAGUUUGACCUUAAGAUUUUCCUUUGCCUUCUCCAAAAACUUUUAGGUGGCGAUUCAUACUUGAUUAAUGAUAGUGCUAAAUGUGAUAAAAAUUGUAGAUUUACCUUUCUUUCAUCAUCAUAGCCAAGCAAUAUGAUAAAGUUAUCUUCAUUUUGUUCGUGUUUGCUUUACUCUUAAUGGCUUGCAAUGAUAACUGACCCUGUUCUGUAAAUAUGACAGCAUGGGCUUGGUUAUCAGCAG
rnacentral:misc_RNA from 1 species